rnacentral:rRNA from 1 species
CUACGGGGCCCUCCAGUGGGGAAUAUUGCGCAAUGGCCGAAAGGCUGACGCAGCGACGCCGCGUGUGGGAGGAAGCCCCUCGGGGUGUAAACCACUGUCAGAAGGGAAGAACUUCGGGCUUCCGAAUACGAAGCCUGGCUGACGGUACCUUCAGAGGAAGCGCCGGCUAACUCCGUGCCAGCAGCCGCGGUAAGACGGAGGGCGCAAGCGUUGUUCGGAAUCACUGGGCGUAAAGCGCACGCAGGCGGUCUCUUAAGUCCUCUGUGAAAUCCCGGGGCUCAACCCCGGAGUUGCAGGGGAUACUGAGGGACUGGAGACUGGUAGAGGCUAGCGGAAUUCCUGGUGUAGCGGUGGCAUGCGUAGAUAUCAGGAGGAACACCGGUGGCGAAGGCGGCUAGCUGGGCCAGUUCUGACGCUCAUGUGCGAAAGCGUGGGGAGCAAACAGGAUUAGAUACCCCCGUAGUC